rnacentral:tRNA from 1 species
NGCAGCGUGGCUCAGUGGAAAGAGCACGGGCUUUGGACCCAGAGUUCAUGGGUUCGAAUCCCGGCUCAGCCA